UCGAACGGCAGCACGGGGGCAACCCUGGUGGCGAGUGGCGAACGGGUGAGUAAUACAUCGGAACGUGUCCUGUAGUGGGGGAUAGCCCGGCGAAAGCCGGAUUAACACCGCAUACGCUCUACGGAGGAAAGGGGGGGAUCUUAGGACCUCCCGCUACAGGGGCGGCCGAUGGCAGAUUAGCUAGUUGGUGGGGUAAAGGCCUACCAAGGCGACGAUCUGUAGCUGGUCUGAGAGGACGACCAGCCACACUGGGACUGAGACACGGCCCAGACUCCUACGGGAGGCAGCAGUGGGGGAUUUUGGACAAUGGGGGGCACCCUGAUCCCAACAUGCCGCGUGUGUGAAGAAGGUCUUNCGGAUGGUAAGCACUUUUGGCAAGGACGAUGAUGACCGUACCUGCANAAUAAGCCCGGCUUACUUCGUGCCGCCGCCGGGGUAAUAUCACUAAUG
rnacentral:rRNA from 1 species